UGUGUGUGUGUGUGUGUGUGUGUGUGUGUGGUAGGGGGGGCACAUGUGUGUGAAGGGAGCAUUUAGCAGCCGAUCAAUCACAACCUGCCAGAUGGGUGUGGUACGAUGAGUCAAAACGGCACCAGUUGGGUUGACCAGAGCUCCUCCUGAAAUUCAACACAAAAAGAACAGGAAUGAGCUACACUCUCAGCCCAGGUGGAGCGACACAGUCCAUUCUCCGGCACGUAUCCUUCGCCUCAAUGGGAUCCGCCCGCCGCCCGACCCGCAGCACCACAGCCGAUCCCUCGGCGGAGGCACGCAGAUCCACUCCCGCUUUGACAAGGUCAAUUUACAACCUGUACUUUGUGCAAGAUGGAGGGUAUUACAUUCUCUGCUCAGCUGUCCCCGAUGCAUGGCUGCUUCUCCUUUACACACACACACACACACACAGGAAGGAAAACACGCACACAAAGACGGACAGAUAUACUAUGUGGAACAUGAACACGAGCAGAAAUGCACACACGCCAAGAUUAAAUGACACGCUGCACACACACUGACAGAUUGAUGGAAACCAUAUGCACGCGCACACACACACACACACACACACACACACACACACACACAGUCAGCCUGGCUG